rnacentral:ncRNA from 1 species
AAAAUAGUUUUAUUAUGGCUAAAAGUAUAGGUUUAUAAUUUAUUUACAUGUAAAUUUUUGUAUUUAUUUAUAGUGUCUUAGAAAGAUAUUAUACCUAAAUUUAUGCGCAGUAUUUAAUUUUAAUUAUUAAGGAGACUUAGAUUUAGAAAUUUAUAAAAAUAUUAACAUAAUUUGUGCCAGCAGUUGCGGUUAUACAAAUAAUAUAAUUUAUUUUUGUUAAUAUAUAAUUAAUUUAAUUAAUUUUAUAAAAAUUAUAGUUUAUUAGGUGAAAUUUUAAAUUAUAAUAAUUAUAAUGAAAGAUUUUGAAGUUAUUAAAUUUUAUUAAAAACUAGGAUUAGAUACCCUAUUAUCGAAAUGUAAAUGUUCAAGAAUUUAAUUAUUAAUAGUUAUAAUCUAAAAAAUUAAAAAUUUUGGCGGUAUUUUAAUCUAUUCAGAGGAACCUGUCCUAUAAUUGAUAUUCCACGAUUACAUAUACUUAAUUUAUUAGUUUGUAUAUCGUCGUAGUUGAAUAUUUUAUUAGAAAUUUAAUAUUCAUAAAUUUAUUUAAAAUAUAAAUCAGAUCAAGGUGCAGCUUAUAGUUAAGAAGAGAUGGGUUACAAUAAUUUUAAUUUUGAAGUAAUUUUUUAAAAUAAUUAUGAAAAUGGAUUUGAUAGUAAUUAAAUUAUUUUUGAUUUAAUGAUUUAAGCUCUAAAAUAUGCACAUAUCGCCCGUCGCUCUCAUUUAAAGUGAGAUAAGUCGUAACAGAGUAAGUGUACUGGAAAGUGUAUUUAGGUUG